CGUUGGAGAUUUGAGGGUAUCUGUCCUUAGUACGAGAGGACCGGGAUGGACGAACCUCCGGUGCACCGGUUGUCGCGCCAGCGGCAUAGCCGGGUAGCCAUGUUCGGUGUGGAUAACCGCUGAAAGCAUCUAAGCGGGAAGCCCUACCCAAGAUUAGAUCUCCCUGGCCGCAAGGCCCUGAAGACACCUCGAAGACUACGAGGUUGAUAGGCUGCAGAUGUAAGUGUGGUAACACGCUCAGUCGAGCAGUACUAAUAUGUCGU
rnacentral:ncRNA from 1 species